GAGACCUGGCGCCGGGCGCUUUGAGGCCCGGCUUACUCCCUUGCUGGGUAUGGGGAAGGGGCGUCUUCUGUCCUUGUGGUCCGCUUCUAGGCUUUUUGGAGCAUCUUCCAGGGUCACUCCAGAGACCCCCCCAGACUACUGAAUCUGAAUCCGUUAGGGUGGUCCAACCUUCCUCUUCAGGUGUCUACUAGAGGCAAGGUUGGAUGUAUGCGGCUGCCCUCAGUACAGCCCCUUCCUUGUUUUUUCUUCAUUUGUGUUUACUUAAAACAUUAAUCCUUUUCUCCCUCUCCUCCAUCCCUCUCCCUCCCCUACUAUACAGUUAUUGACUUACACUAAUUCAUUCCCGAUGAUCUCCCAGAAGGAAAUAAGUGUCUGUCUGUCUCUGUCUCUGUACCAUCGUCUUCUUGGUACAGUUCGGACUAUUUUUUCUCUACACCCCAGUUAUGCAAAGUGUAGUCCCUGAACCAGCAGCCUCAGCAUCCUGAGGGAAUUUGUUAAAAACGCGAAAUCUCAAGCCCUACCCAGACUUACUGAAUCAGUGUCUGCAUUGCAACAAGAUCCCCUGGUAAUUCCUAUGCACAUCAAAAUUUGGAAGGCACAGCUCUCAACUGAUGUCCUGGGUCUCCUUCACAUCCAUCCUGGGAAGGUCUUAUUCCUCAUUCCUGAGCUCAUCCCACUGAAGAGCUAUGGCACUUCCAAUUCCUGAGCCUUUGUGAGGUUCUGCGUGUCAGUAAGCUUGCUUCCGGGCAUCACCUCCGAAAACACUUGGGUUUCAGUUUUCUCUGUGAGGCUUCUUAAGGAGUGGAGGAAAGUGGAUGUUUUCAAGAUAACGCAGCUAACAUUCAAAGAGGUUAAGUGAAUUGUCCAAAGUCACACAGCAAGCACUGGAGAUGAGGAAAACAUCUCAGAGAAGUUGAGCAAUUUGCCCAAGGCCACACAGCAAAAAGUGGCAAAGCCAGGGUCGGUGAUUCAUG
rnacentral:lncRNA from 1 species